rnacentral:rRNA from 1 species
AGAACGAACGCUGGCGGCAUGCCUAAUACAUGCAAGUCGAACGAGAUCUUCGGAUCUAGUGGCGCACGGGUGCGUAACGCGUGGGAAUCUACCCUUGGGUUCGGAAUAACAGUUGGAAACGACUGCUAAUACCGGAUGAUGACGAAAGUCCAAAGAUUUAUCGCCCAAGGAUGAGCCCGCGUAGGAUUAGCUAGUUGGUGAGGUAAAGGCUCACCAAGGCUACGAUCCUUAGCUGGUCUGAGAGGAUGAUCAGCCACACUGGGACUGAGACACGGCCCAGACUCCUACGGGAGGCAGCAGUAGGGAAUAUUGGACAAUGGGGGCAACCCUGAUCCAGCAAUGCCGCGUGAGUGAUGAAGGCCUUAGGUUGUAAAGCUCUUUUACCGAGAUGAUAAUGACAGUAUCGGAGAAUAAGCUCCGGCUAACUCCGCGCCAGCGACGCCGAC